rnacentral:rRNA from 1 species
ACAGCAGUAGCCGCGGGAAUACGAAGGGGGCUAGCGUUGUUCGGAAUUACUGGGCGUAAAGCGCACGUAGGCGGACAUUUAAGUCAGGGGUAAAAUCCCGGGGCUCAACCCCGGAACUGCCUUUGAUACUGGGUGUCUAGAGUAUGGAAGAGGUGAGUGGAAUUCCGAGUGUAGAGGUGAAAUUCGUAGAUAUUCGGAGGAACACCAGUGGCGAAGGCGGCUCACUGGUCCAUUACUGACGCUGAGGUGCGAAAGCGUGGGGAGCAAACAGGAUUAGAUACCCGCGUAGUCCCUGUCUCUUAUAA